GAAGGCCUUCGGGUUGUAAAAUCCUUUUCCGGGCGAUGAGGAAGGACACUAGCCUGGGAAUAAGCGUCGGCUAACUACGUGCCAGCAGCCGCGGUAAGACGUAGGACGCGAGCGUUAUCCGGAUUUACUGGGCGUAAAGCGCCUGCAGGCGGUCAGGUAAGUCGGUUGUGAAAGCCCCGUGCUCAACGCGGGGAGGCCAAGCGAUACUGCGUGACUUGAGGGCGGAAGAGGGGAGUGGAAUUCCCGGUGUAGCGGUAAAAUGCGCAGAUAUCGGGAGGAACACCAGUGGCGAAGGCGGCUCCCUGGACCGCACCUGACGCUCAGAGGCGAAAGCUAGGGGAGCGAACAGGAUUAGAGACCCUGGUAGUCCUAGCCCUAAACGCUGGAUGCUAGGUGUAGGGCUGAUGAGGCUCUGUGCCGGAGCGAACGCGAUAAGCAUCCCGCCUGGGAACUACGGCCGCAAGGCUAAAACUCAAACGAAUUGACGGGGACCCGCACAAGCAGCGGAGCGUGUGGUUUAAUUCGAUGCUACACGAAGAGCCUUACCUGGGUUUGACAUGCUGGUGGUACCGAACCGAAAGGGGAGGGACCCUUCGGGGAGCCAACACAGGUGCUGCAUGGCUGUCGUCAGCUCGUGCCGUGAGGUGUCGGGUUAAGUCCCGUAACGAGCGCAACCCUUGCUCUUAGUUAUACGUGUCUAAGGGGACUGCCGGCGACAAGCCGGAGGAAGGUGGGGAUGACGUCAAGUCAGCAUGGCCUUGAUAUCCAGGGCUACACACACGCUACAAUGGCCGGUACAAAGGGCAGCCAAGCCGCGAGGUGGAGCGAAUCCCAGCAAAGCCGGUCCCAGUUCGGAUUGCAGGCUGCAACCCGCCUGCAUGAAGUUGGAGUU
rnacentral:rRNA from 1 species